AAUAUUGGGACAUAUAAAAAAAGACAACUCUGUUCUGCAGAGUAGCUGUUGAUAUUAUAGUUGCGCAGGAACUUUGUUGACUCUAGAGAACCUCAGGCAAAUCGCACAUCCCUGUGGCGGCGACUUUUCAUGCGGAUGUCAUCCAUAUCAACUUUCGAUGCCAGUUUCUGCGCCUACCAUGGUGACCACGGGUAACGGGGAAUCAGGAUUCCAUUCCGUACAGGGACCCUGAGAAACAGCUACCACAUGCAAGGAAGGCAGCAGGCGCGCAAAUGACCCACCCCCGACGCGGGAAGGUAGUGA